rnacentral:lncRNA from 1 species
UUUCAUUUACUCUAGUAUUUAUAUUUUAAACAAUUUCAACCCAUGUAUUUAGUUUGGUUUCCUAAAUUAACAUUGAAUUCAAACAUAUCACAAAUUUAAAUUCAUUAAGAGUUAAUAAAACAUAUAAACUGUGUUAAAAAUAUCUCCUUAUCUUAUAUAUUAUUUGAGGAUAAUUGUAACAUAUGAGUCUUGCUGAUGUUUCAUUACUAGAAUAAUUCUUAAAAUCAUUAUAGAAAUAACUUUAAACUAUUAGAAUAAUUAGAAUUCAUGUUAUUCAUUAUUUGGUUUAAAUUUAUAUUUUUUCAUAUAUGUUAUGUUUGGUUUUAAAAAUAAUUAUGAAUUAUUGAAACUCCUAAAACUCAUACAUUGAAUUUUUUUGAUAAAAUUUUGUUAUAAGAAGAUAUACAUUGUUAUAAAAUGAUAUGAGUAAGAAGCUUUAUUGAAUAGAAAUCUCAACUAGAAAUAUAUAUAUAUAUAUUUUAAUAUCGCUUAAAUUAAACUAUAUUUCAUAUAAAUUCAUAAAUAUUUUAAUUUCAGUAUUUUAGAAAUAUGUAUUAUCCUUGCAUUAAUAACUUUUAAUUUAAUAAAAUCAUGAAAAGCUAUUUAUAUAUCUUUUGUUAUUUAUAAAAAUAUUAAAGAAAAAAUUAUUUUGAAAAUAAAUAUUUUAUAAAUAUCUCAUUGCAGCACAUAUUGUAUUACCUAUUACUUAUUUAUUUUGGCACCCCAAACGAAAAUUAGUAGAAAAGUAAAAGUAAGAGAUUGAUGUAAGUUUAUAAUAUAAACUCUUGGGAUUCGUCAAAAACUUUGUCUGGAUUGGUUGAUGAAAAUCAAACAAGAUCAAUUAGCUUAAUAAUACAACAAGUCAAAUUAAGAAAACAAAUAUUAUUUCAAUUGUUUGUGCAAUUUGAUAAUAUUUGAAAAUAUUACUAAUAGGUUUAUGAAAAUUGGUGAGAAACCCUGUUCCAUCUAGAUUAAUAUAAUAGACUCUCUUUAUAUAUGAAGAGCCCAUAUGUUCCCUUCUUUCUACACCAUGCCAAUUGUAAGAUUCCGAGAGAGGUUUUAAUCUUGUUCAAAGAUUAUAAAUGAUUGGAGAGACUGUAAGAUUAUAUCAAUCUGAGAGGACUACUGCAGCGAUAAGGUGACAUGCAACAAUUGUUUGUAUCUAUUUUCUUUUCUUAGUUCAUCUUCUAAUAUUCUAAAAUCUACAAACUCAUAUUUUUUGUAUCUACAUCAACAAGUUCGUCAAACAGAAUAUGAACAAGUCUGUGAGUUUGAUUCUUAUUCUAUGUCAAGUUAUUUUGCUAUAGAAUAACAAUCAUAAAAUAUUAAAAGAAAUAACCAGAAUAUUGCCAAAAAGAUGGAGAUUUACCUUACCCAAAAGUCCGGUUCCCAAUUCAGUAGCUCUGAAAGGGACAGUAGACAACUCACCACACCAUUUCCUUCUUCACUUCACAAAUCUCUUAUCUUUAUCUAUUUUUUCGGCAGAAGUUUUUCUUUCUCCUUUGUUGAGAAAACACUUAUAUCCUCUUUUAGGUUUUUUCCCAUCAUCUCCUCAAUUAUUGUUGCAUGAAAUUUUUUGUAACUAUCUUCAUGCAAAUCAUAUAUGUGAAUAGUGUGUCAUAUGUUUAUUGGGUUUAUCCGGUUGCUCGAUAAGGAAGAUCAAAUCCCAGUUGAUCGUUCCAUAAUGUGUUGACGGCUGAACUUAUAUAUGUAGUUAUAUUUUGAUCUCUUUUACAUUUUCAUCAAGAUAAUCCAACUUCAUAUUUCGAUCUCCUUUACAUUUUCAGUUAAUUAUCUCAGAUACUAUAAAUAGUAUGAUAUAUGAUUAAUAGAAUAUUGAUUUCAAAUAAUUCAAGAGAUAUUGCAUGGACACGAAAUGUGUUGACGGUCGGUCAGCCUUAAGCCUAUGUAGUUAUAUUUUGUAUAAAAGUAGAAAGGUUGGAGAGUACGCUAAACAACAUUAAUUCUGAGCAUGAAGUAACUAACACAUAUUAUCUAUAUGAAUUACAUCUAGAUACGAUGCUGGAUCAAUCGAAGUCUUUACAGAGCAAUUUUUUUAUUUUGAUUUGUAAAAUGCGAUCGUUGUCACAUGAUCUCUCAGAGAAGCAAACAUUAUCUUCCUUUUCUUAGAAUUUGGGGGGUCUUGAUUAGUUUUAUAUCUUAAAUUGUUUAUAUCCAUGCUUCACACGGUUAUAUGUCGGCAACAUGAAUAUUAUGAUGAGAAAAUGACAUGUGGACUAUUCAAUACUUCGUUUUAUUUGUCAGAUGAUCAGUACUCAAAAUUCUAUGAUAAGAAAGAAAUAUAUAACAAAAUGUACAUUCAUCGCGAAUUUAUGAGUAAUUUUGAUUUUGAAGAACCUUACAAGUUAAUGGACGAUAGAUAAAAAUGGAUAGAGUGCUGCGUAUAUGGACCAACAUAUGCUUCUUCUGGCAGUUCUGGAUGUAUGAUAUAAAUAUACAUGCUUUUCGUAACAAAUAUAUAUAUAUAUAUAUAUAUAUACUUUUUUACCAAUUUAAUCAAUUCACAGAAUAAUCUAGACGUACUGGUCGACAAAAAAAAAAUCUAGACGUACUGAUAUCGUGAUCCAGUUCAUAUGUAAUAUUAUAUUGUAUAAUUAAAUGUAUUCUCUCAGCGGCAUCCAAUUUUUUUUAGGAUUUCUUUUUUGAGCAACUCAAAUUUUUUUAGGAUUUGUUUCUGAAAAAAUGAUAAAUUAGAUGGCCUGAUUUGAUACAUUAGAGCAUUUCCAACUCUACUUCACAUUUUAUUCUAAAAUUGAAAAAAAUAGAGUGAGAAAUUGAGUGAUGAACAAACAAUAAAAACAUUACUCUAUUUCUAGAGUAAUGUUUUUAGUUUUUGUUCAUUACUCAAUUUCUCACUCUAUUUUCUCAAUUUUAGAGUAAAAUAUGGAAUAUGAUUAGAAAUGUCCUUAAUCGUAUUUAAAGAUGGACAAACUAUAUGAAUCUUAGAGCAUGAUUAAUGGGAGAUAUCAUAAUUAGAAUCUUAGAGCAUGAUAAGACAUGUGUCUUAUAAACUAUUUCUUAUUUAGAAUACGUUCUUUAGUUAAAAACUAUUUUUUAACGCAUAAUUACACUAACAACCCUUUUAAAAGACUGUGUUAAUCAUGGUCUUAAAAACCUAACCAUAUAUAACUUAAACAUUUGUACUGAAUCCAAACUGAAACUUGUUAGAUAUCCAAACCAUUUAAACCCAAACCCAACCUGAACUAAAAUAUUUUGGUAAUCACAAUUAUAUUAUUUAAUAUAGUAAUUAUUUUUAGAUCUAAUAUCUGAAGAAAUAUCAAAAUUCUUUUGCCAAAAAAACUAAAAUACUCCAAAUUAUACUUAAUUAGCUAAAACAAAUAUCCAAAAAAUCUAAAAAUAUUCAAAACACCAAAAAUAUACUAAAUACCUAUCAGUUCUCUAUUCAAAUAUCCAAACUGAACUUAUUUUCUUAAUUUUAAAUCUUUAGCGUAGAAUAUUAAUAUAUAUAUGUUGUCUAUUGUUUUAUUUUUGGAUUUUAAAAUUUAAAAAGUACUCUAAGAUUUUGAAUUUUUUUUACAUAAUUCAAAUGGACAUUUGAAUUCGAAUUGAUUAACACACAAAGAUUCGAAUAAAAUCCAAAAUGAAAUUUAUAAAUACAUGAAUUUAUAAAUUUUUAAUCUGAUAACUUAAAAUUUGAAUAGACCAGAACCGAACCUGAAUAUAUACAUGUUUAUGAAAUUAUAUAUAUGUGUGUGUGUAUCUAAUCUAUUAAUUUAGGGUCCUAAAUUUUAUCUACUUAAAAAGUUGUCAUUUAAAUUUGGACUCUUUUAUUUUUGUUACUAAAGUGUACCCUUUCAAGUUGAUAGAUUUAAUAUGCUACAUAGUUAAUACAAUGGGACAACUUAAAUUAAACCAACAUCCUCUAUUAAAUCUAAACCGAUCUCAUGAACCAAAAUAAAAUAUAAUCCAUUACACCGAUGGUUAUCUACUGUUAGGUUAACAAUACAAAUAUUCUAAUUGGACCUCCUGAUCAUUUUUUCUUCUUUUUUAGUUCAUAAAUUGCAACAUAACAAAAUAUUUUUAUUUCAUAUCUUUACCCAUCUUUCAUCAACGUUAACAUUCUAACAAAUAUAUGUCCACAUGAAUAUAAAGAUUGAAAUGAAUGAAUUAAUUUUCUGUUACACUUAUAGGAACCUGUCUUUAUGAACACAAUAUUUGACAGUAUAUAAGCUUCAAUCAUAUUGAGAUUAUGUUAUAUAUGUCCACCAUUUAAGUUUUGUUUUUUCGUUUAUUAUAGCCUAACUGCAACAUGCCAUUCCUACACGUUUAUGUAUACUAAAUAAUAUUCAUUUGUACAUAUUAAAUAGAUUAUAUGUAUUUUGAAUUUUAAAUAAUAUUAAUAUCUAAUUUUUUUACAAACCUCCGACCGUUAUUAUAAAGAUAAGAUUCUAACCAUUAUCAGUAUAUAAGCUUCAGUCAUAUCAUAUUCUCUAUUUACGUUACAAAAGUUCUUUUUUUCAUAGCACAUUAUACAAUUUAUACACGUAUCUUUUCAAUACAAUUAGAUAUUAGAUAAAAUAGCUGUAUUUUCUAAUUUAAAUUUAAUAAAUUAAUUUUGAAUCGUAUAUUUUAUCUAUUCUUGACAAGUCAUAUUAGAACCAUUAAAUUAACUACAUAAUAUGAUAUAUUUGAUUAUUUAACUUAAAUCUUAAUAAUAAAUAAUGAUAUUAAUAAUAAAUAAAUUGUAAUUAAAAAUUUGAUUUUGAAUUUUAGUUAUAAGUAAAUCUGUUGAGAAAAAUCUUACAGAAUAGUACUACUAAAAGUUUUAAUAUUUAUUUUUAUAAAAUAAUACAUUAUAAUUUCGUAAUUGGUAAUGUAAUCUUAUUAUAAAUUGAUAACAAUUAAAAUUUAAUCUUAAAAAAAAGGAAAUAAAAAUUAUAUACUAUUUUAUAAAUCUUAUAAUUAUAAUCUAUAUUAUAUUAAUAGACGUGCUCUAAAGCUAUAGUAAAGGAGAUUAUAUGUUGAUUAUUUCAGAUUAUAAUUUAUGUAUCAAACUAAAAAUAUAUAUUAAUUAAUAAUAACAAUCAAUAAAAAAUGAAAAAAAAUAAAAAAUCACAAUAUGACAAAAACAACAAAUCACUAUAUAUUAAUAAUCAUAAAUACGAAAUUUAAAAAUAAGAUUAUAAAGUUACAUAAUAUAUAGCGCUAGACGUAAAUUAUACAUUUAAAAUUUGAUGUCAUUAAAGUUAUAUAUUUAUAAAAUAAAAAAUAUCCGCACGAAAGUGCGGGUCAAAAUCUAGUGUGUUUUUAAAUGAGAUAUACUGAAAAUUAUAUUAUGGGAUGUGGGUCUGCGGCUCUGCCCAUGUGUCAAGGCAAAGACAAUGACUCUUCAUUAGUUAUAAAAAUUACAAUAUUUAUCAAUAUAAUGUUUAUAAAGUCUAUGAAGAAUCAUCAGAGCAUCACAUUCUUCCAACUAAAAUUCCACUUUACUUUACAGAAAAUCAUCCUUUCUCUAGAAAAGAAAAAAGAAAAGGGAAUGAAUAAAAUUGAUUCUCAAUUCAAAAGGUCAAAAUCCUAACAAAUAAAUUUUACGUUUCUACUCAAAACGAUAAUGUUUAGAACAUUAUUAGACAGCAGUCACCGAAAGUCACUUGGUCAAAAGGAGUAUGGUUUUCUUUCUGGAGCUACUCCAAAGUUUUCGUUUCUCAUUUGGAUUGCUAUUCAUAACAGAUUAGCAACGGGGGACAGGAUACUUCGAUGGAAUCCUCAAGCUAUAACUACUUGUUGGCUGUGCAAAUGGCUACUGAAACCAGAGAUCAUUUGUUCUUUGAGUGUGUUUACUCAAAAGAAGUGUGGUUGGAAACUAUAAAAAACCUAGCAGGUAACCGGAGGUUAUAUGAGUGGUCUAGUGUGGUUAGGGUUGUGGUGAAUGGCCUUCAUGGAAGGACAUUGGAAUUUCUACUUCGCUACUGCUUCCAAGCUGUUGUAUAUGCACUAUGGCGUGAAAGAAAUGUGAGAAGAGUUGGUGAUCCCUCUCAGCCGGUCUCUUGUCUAAUUGCUAGAUUGGAUAAGUUGAUCAGAAACAGGAUCACUUCAUUGAGAAGAAAGAAGGGUGAAAAAUACGAAAAGGCAAUGGAGGUUUGGUUUGAUAGAAACUAAUGGAGGCGCUUGUUGUGUUUUUUGUGUAGAAUUCUAAAGAAUUUUCCUUUGUAUAGAGAGGAGGCAGUGAAAAAGCUGUAACAUGUUUUUUUUUAUUGGAAUAAAAUUUAAAAUUCUUUCAAAAAAAAGAUAAUGUUUAUUUCUCUAGUUUUUUUUUUUUUUUGAAGAUGUGCGAUCAGGGAUAUUGAAAACCCAUUUUUGUGUUCUUGUAACUCUUACAUGGACUCUAGGUCAGAGGUGAAGGCGUGAACCCCAAGUCCCAACCAAUACAAGGGCAUUGUUUCUAAAGACCAUAACAAAGCCUAGUUUGUUACGGCUGAUGCUAAUUGAUUUUUUUCUAAAGUAACCUAAACUCUUAUAAUAUUUACCUUUACUGUCUAACCUAAUAUUUACCAAAAAUAAAACACAUAGAUCCACUUGUGAAGAAGAAUGUAAUUUAACUUUAUAAUAUUCGUGUCACAAGUUAGGUAAAGAAUUCUCUUAAUGUGUGCCUUGUCAAGUGAACAAGAUCGCGAGGCUUCACAAAUCACAACAUUGUUACUUUGACAUUAAGGCUUUGAAUGGUGUCAGUGUGGGACGAGAUGAGCGGAUUACAUUUUGCGGUAUGAAAUCUAAGUAGCAUGGAAACUUCAUUAGACGUGCGCGUUCCGCUUUGGAACCGGAAUCAGAAGCUUCUGGAAGCUCCCAAAAUCUAGCUUACAAUAUGUUUCCAAAAUUACCUCUUAAAACAGUUUGCAAACUUGCGACUCUGUUUAUGAAUCACAUUUCUAUUUUAAAAACAAAGUGUAUAAAUAAGUAAAAAAUAUAAAAUUAUGUUUUUAUUUAUAUAACAUCCAAAAUUAAUGGUAUUAAAAUAGAUAGAAUACACAAUAAGCAAAUAUCAAAAUUAAUACUAUAAAAUAUCUUUGCGCAUAAUAACUUUUUCUAUAAGAGAUCUUGCAUAUAUUCAAAAUAUUGUGACAGAUAUUUGUGAACUAUUAAAAAUAAUAAUUUGAUAAUAUUUCUUAUAAGCUUAACCUACUAUUAUUUUAUAAUUAAAAAAUGAAGUCAACUGAAUGGAAUAAAAUUAUUAAAUAUGAAUAAGUGAUUUUUAUUUUGAAUCAUAUAUUUUUAGUCAUAAUUUUAUAAACUCAAUUUUAUGUUAUGUAUUUAUAUAUUUGGAUAUACGCUUCCAACACGUAUCCGCUUCCUACUUUUUUAAAUCCCGCUUCUACGCUUCCUUGCGAUUCUACUUCCGCAUACCCGCUUCCGUUUCCAUGCAACAUAGGGUAUAUUGCGGGAUAACUACGAUUUAUCUAAAAAUAAAGGGUUCAAAAUAAUAUCUGAACAGUAAUAUAUAUAAUAGAAAGUGCAGAACAAAUGUUCGAAUAGUGAUAUGUAUCAAAAAUACUAUGGAUAUAUAAUACAUUAUUUUACAAAUUUAAAAUCAAUGAUACUAAUAAAAUUUAAAGUAUUUGAUUUAAUUUAUAAAAAUAUAUGUCUGAAAUUUUCUACAAAUAUUCAUUUGUUUCCUCAUUCAAUACACAAAAUUGGAAAAUAUUAGGAUAGAUAAAUUUGAGAAAAUAUAUGACUUUGGAAAAUAUAUAAAUGAAUUUUUGAUAAACUUAUGUAAAUUAGUAUAAUUUAGAAAUAUUAUGAGUUAUGCAUUAAAACUGUUAGUUUGUUAAUAUGUAUUUUUAUCAAUUUUAUAUAUGUCAUUGAUUAAACCAUAAUUAAAGAAAUUUUUAAUAAAACUUAUGUAAAUUAGUAUAAUUGAAAAUAUAUUUUAAUAUUUAUAAUUAAAGAUAAUAAUAAUAUAAAAUGUAUUUGUUGUUGAACCACACCUUAUAUGACGCAUAUGUAGUGCCGGUCCAGAUAUAUAUGGUGCCUAAAGCGCAAUAAAAAAUGUUGCUCCAAACUAUAAAUAAGUUUUUAUAUAUUAAUUAUGUAAUAUAAUGAUACAAAUAUAAUUAAAAUUUAGUUAUUUCUCAAAGAAAAAAAACGUUAGUACAUUAUUCCUAAAAGAUACUCCUUUUAUCUUUCUUAUGUGUAAGCAUAUCAACUUUGAAUAAUAAGUAUUUUUACUAAUUCGUACUUUAUUGAUAUCAUAAACAAUCUAUAUAAUGGUUCAUGUCUAGAUAAACAUUUUUAAAUUAUAAAUUAGAAACACAACAAUACAAUCCAUAUGAUAAAAGAAUAUAAGAAGUAGACAACAAUUAUUAUUUAAUAAAAUUUCAAUAACAUCAAUCAGUUUGCAGAUAUUUAUUGAGUUUAUCUUAGAACUAGGUGUUUUGCCGCGAUGCGGACUUAAACAUUUUCAUAACUUUUGAAAAAUUCUUUGUACACUAUAUUCAUUAUACUAAAAUAAAUUUUAAAAUAACUUAAUAUUAUAUUUUUAAUUAUAUAAUUAAAAAAAAUUAUUUUAUUAAUAUUUAAUUAUAUAACUUAUGUUUAAAAUUUUUACUUAAAUAUUUUUUCAGAUAACAAUACAAUAUAUAUAUAGAAAUUAUUUUUUUUAAUUAUAUUUUUAGAUUUUGGAUAAUUCAAUAUUCUAUUUUAAUUAUAUAAUUGGAUAAUUCAAUAUUUUUAGAGUCUUUGAAUAUCUUGCUGUCAAAAAAAUAUAUAAUUAAGAAUUUUAUUUGAUUAAUAUUUAGUUAUUUAGUUAUAUAAUUCAUGUUUUUAACCUUUUAUAUAUAAUUCAUGUUUUUAACUUUUUACUAAAAGACUUUUUUCAGAUAACAAUACAAUAUAUACAUAAAUUAUCUCUUUUUAAAAUUAUAUUUUCAGAUUUUGGAUAAUUCUUACUAUUAUUAAUUUUAAUCAAUUAUCUAAUCAAAUAAUUUAAAAUUUCAUUUUUAUGUUUUAAUUUAGUUAUACAUUUUAUUCAUUAAGGGUAUAAACAAUAUUAACCACUCUAACUUUUAACGUGAAAGCUCGAUUCCAAAAAUUUAUUUCGCAAAUAAUAGUAUAGAUCUCAUAUGUAAAAAUAGUUUUAUAUUUGUUUGGUUUUUCAGGAUUUACAAAAAAAAAAACAAUAUAAAAGCUUACGAGAGGAAAAAUAAAGAAAAGAGAAGAAACUUACAUGAAGAUUGGAAGAUUAAGAGAGACACUUAUUCUAAUAAAAUAAGUAACAAUGGAAGAUGUAGUUUUUAUGAGAGGAAGAAGAAAGAAUGCUGAAAAUUGAAAAAUGAGGAGAGAACGUCAAUUUCUAGGGUUGUGAUAAUAAUUAUAUUGUGAUUACCAAAAAUAGGAAAAAAAAAAGAAAAAAAAAGUAGUGCUGAGGGCAUGAGAUUCAAACUUGAAAUUCCCAACAUAUGGGAACACAUACACGCUACUGAACCAAAGAGAUUUCACUGUAUUUGCUAACGUCGUUAUAAUUUUAAUAAAUUUUAGGUUUAAAGCUUUUGUUUUAUGGGCUUUAGUCAAGGACCGGCCAUGCGUAUAUGAUUACAAGAUGCUAUCUAAUGAAUCUUAUCAAUUCUGAACCACUUUGGAUUCAAUUUAAAAUUUGUAAUAUUAAAAAAAUGUACAUUUUUAAGAGUUAUUUACACUCAAAUGCAGUUUUGAAUUAUUUAUAACACAAUAAGACAGUUUCUACUCUUAGGACAUUUUUUCUUAACAUCUCUUAACUUUUUCAUUCAUUACUAAUUAAAGUAUAAGUAAAGCAUAAUUUGUUGGACCCACUAAUUUCUAAUCUUCUUUCUUAGAUCUUCUUUAUUAGUUCUUUGUUUUUUUUUAAUCAAUUGAUUUCAUAAAAUAAAAAGAUAAUCUCAUCUUCUUUUCUUUCAUAGUUCCUCUUCGUCGUGCUUCCUGGUCCUCGUCCGUGAUGAACCUCAGCCCAGUUCGAUUGCGGUUCGUCUUCUCAUUUGUCAUGAAUCACACGACCAAGCUUCCUCCUCCACGUUGUGCUCCGCAACUCAUCUACCUCGUGUUGUGACAAUAUGCCGCGGUGGUUGUGAUGGUCGGAAUCUGUGACGGACGGUGAAGCUCAGGCAGCAAUGGAGUUUUUUCUCACAUUUUCACAUAUGGUCCUUUAUUUGUUAGGUUAUUAUCAAUUUGGUCCAAACUAUCAAAUUUUCAGAUACAUCCCUUUUAAUUGUCUAAAAACUUUUAAUUGUUCAAUCAAAUCUCUACAAUAUGUAAAUAUGAAUUUUAAAUGUAAUAUAACAAAUAUGUACACAAAAUUAUUAAAUAUCAUAAUUUGAUAAAUGUACAAAUGAAUUGGUGUACAUGUAUCAUUUCGUAUAAUCAUAUACACGUGGACAGUAGAAUACAUGUGUACACGUUGACGAUAUUUGACACACAAAGUAGCUUUCAAAUAUCAUUCAAAAUGUGAUUUUAGGUUUUGAUAUUUUUAAGCAGACAAUGUGAUUUGCGGUUUUAGUGGAAAAACAUGAUUGUACGGUACAUUGCUUUAAUGAUAUACAAUGUACGCAAGUAAAUAUGUGCACAUAAACACAUAUAAACAUGUACACGUGUACACAUAUACAUAUAUAAACAUGUACAAAUUUACACAUGUAUGCAUUCCAGACCAUAGUUAUGCAAUUAUGUAUGCAAAUACAAUUUUUAUUAACAAUUAAAUGCUAUUUAAAUAAUGUAAAUUAAUUAAUUAAGAUGCAAUAGUAACAUCUAAGUGCUCAUAUUGUACACAUACAUCUAUAUCAUAGUGUACAUAUGUACACGUAAACACAUGUUGUACAUGAGAAGCAUUGUACAUGUGAUAGUAAAUUUACGUGUACAUGUGUACAUAUGUACAUGUGUACAUAUGUACACUAUGAUAUAGAUGUGUUUACGUGUACAUGUGUACACUACAUAUGUUCUUUAGAUAUAAACAAACAACACCACAAAUUGCAUACAAACAAACGUGUACAUGUGUACGAUACGAGCGAGUUUUAAUGUUGCUCAACGAUGGUUUAAUUAGGUGUACACAUGUAUAGCUUAAAUGUAAUGUAUACACGACAUUAAUAUUAAAAUAGUUCUGAGAGUGAUACUUGUAAGGUACUCAGUGUGUCAAAUAUCGUCAACGUGUACAAAUAUAUUUUAUUAUCCACGUGUACAAUAGUAUACAAAAAAAUCACAUGUACACAGAUUCAUUUGUACAUUGUUAAUACUAUGAUAUUUAAUAAUUUCAAUGAUUUUGAGUACAUUUGCUAAAAAGAUGCAUUUCAAUGAUUUUGGGUUCAAUCAGAAUUCAAAGAUGCUCCAACCCUGCGUGUACAUGGGAAGAAAAGAAAAAUCACAUGUACAUUGUGUUAACAUUAUCGUGAGUUCAUAAAGUCGGAGAUGCUUAGUUAUUUAGAUAGAAAACCCUACAAAAAGCCAAAAUAUCUACACAAUCACUUUGAUGUAUAAUACAAACUUAGGUAUACACAUGUACAGUUUGAAAGUAAUGUACAUACAUAUUUUUUAUUUUUGAUAUUUUUUAUUAAUGAUGGAAAUUUAAAAAUACCUUCGUCUUCUUUCUUGGUCACCAUCGACCAUGUACCCUAAUUUACACCUCUUUCACCUGUUUUUCACGAUUCUUUACCUUCUUCACUUGUCUUUUUUUAUGUAUUUUUUCCAGAUAUGAUAGAUUUCAAUCCUAAUUCAUUGUUUUACAUUCUUCACUUGUUUUCUGUUUCUGAUUUGUUGAACAUUUGUUCCAAGUCGCCACGGCUGAGUGCCACAUUCUUGUUGACGCCGUCCGACUCCUGAGUAUCACGACGUCCAACGAUGGGACGUCACGGCGAUUUGUAGAAAAUGAAUUGAAAAAAAAAAUCAAUUAAAAUCUCAAAGCAAUCUCUUGAAUAAAUUCUAUAAAAAUCAUCAAUACAAAAAUUAAAAAGAAAGUUCAUAAUGAAAAAGAUAAGAGAAAGAUGAUAGUGGGUCCUACUAUUUAGUAUAUAGUCAUGUUUUAACUUGAAAAAAUUAAACGAAAUGUGAUGAAGUUAGGAAAAAGAGUGUCUGUAGAAGAAAAUGUCUUAUUUUGUUAUAAAAAACUCAAAACUGUAAAUUACAGUGUAAUUCUUUCCAUUUUUUAUGUCUGAAUGGCAAUUUCCACCUGUCAUGUUGUAGGUCUCGCCUUAGGGGCGGAUGUGCAGCCCAUACGUACAUGGGUACAUGAUUUUAAAUUUUCUUCAGUAAUAGUAUACAGUUUGUGAAAUGCUCCCAACUAAAAAAUUGACAUAAUGUUUGUACCCAAAUAAAUACCUUCCUACAUCCGCCCCGUCCUGUCUUCUCCCGUGCAUAACAUUUAUUACCUAAGACACACCGUGACAGGUGGAAAUUGAACAUAAAAACGUUUCUGGAUCCGCCCAUGACGCAAACUAUACUCUCAUGUCAAAAGUAAUAAAAGUAUUAUUAACCCAACUCGAAGUUAGGUGAAAGAAGAUUUACUAAUAGGCAUUUGGAAAAGCGAUAAAAACCUAAGACUGUAUACAAUCUUGGUUUUAUUAUAUUAGUUGGGCUUCAGAAUUAGAUAAGAGCCCGACUAGAGUAGAUACGAUCGAAGACGUGCUAGAUUUGGAUUUUAACGAAGACGACGCCGUUUCUCCGAUGGAAUAGUAUAGCUGGGUGUUUAUAUACGUUAACCAGAAAGACAAGACCCGGUAAACCAAUUGAAAACGGGGACACAGAUGAGAUCUGUUGAUUGAACCGGGCUUGGUUCAAAUCGCGACAAGCCCUAACGAGUGUAAAACUUGUUGUCUACCAUCUGCCCCCAAAAAUCGACGACGAACGUGAUCUCGGGUCUCAGCUAUUGAUUCCAGGUUUUUUUGGUUUCUUCUUUCGAUUUAGGGUUUCUUACAAUUAAAUCCAAAAAAGUGAUAUUUUUUGUUGAUUCGAGCACACCUUUCACUUACCAAUUCAUUUGGAUUUUUGGUUGAUCUCAACGAGUUUCGAUUGAAUAUAGUUUCUAAAUUCUUCGGGGUCUUAGUUGAAAUUGUUGUAUAUUGGAGUGUAAGAUAUCUUGAAGCUGUUUUGAUUUUAAUGGGGUUUUAUCUGUUUCCAGACAUCUCAAAAAUGGCUGUCUGCACCAGAUUCAGGGUUUUACAGAACAGAAAUGUUGCAGCGACAUCAAUGCUCCGCUACAUGUCCACAAAACUUUUCAUUGGUGGUAAGCAUAACUUCAUAUUCAGAUAGUUUUUUUCUCAUUUUAUGUAUCAUAGUUGUGAAUCUUUGUUACUGUGUAUUAGCUUUUUGAUCUUUUUUUUUGUUAUAUUUGAAUGCUUUUGUGUCACUGUUAAUAUUUUGGUCCCAGGCCUAUCACCCGGAACUGACGAUAACUCCUUGAAGGAUGCUUUCUCUACCUUCAACGGAGUGACUGAAGGUAAGCCCUGGAUCUUUCUUUUCACUCUCCUGUAAUAGAAUCUGGUUUUGUUUGUGCUAGCUCAUGUUUAAACCAUUUCAAGGAUGUUUAAGCUGUAUUAGUCAUCAUUAUACCAUGAAUGAUUGAUUGCAAUAUAAUAUAGGAUUUGUGUCUUCACUGUUUUGCUUUGUUGUGUCUUCACUGUUUCGCUUUGUUGUGCUUUUUAAUGACUAGUUAAUAUUUAUUAUUGUUUUUCAGUUUUUGCGUAUUUAACAAAAAAAAAAAAACUUGUGCUGUUUUGCUUCUGCAGCAAGAGUCAUGACAAACGAAGUGACAGGAAGGUCAAGGGGUUAUGGAUUUGUCAAUUUCAAAAUUGAGGAGUCUGCCAAAUCUGCUAUUUCAGCUAUGGAUGGACAGGUUAGAGAUUAUGAAUGUAUCAUACAUCUACCUAUAUAUAUGUAUCAUGUUAAAUUAUUAUGCUGUAUUGUUAAUUUGCUCUUUUUUUGGUUCUUGGGUGAUUAAUUAGGAGUUGAAUGGGUGUAACAUCCGCGUGGAUGCUGCAAAAGAAUGGCCAAGCUUGCCGUUAUCUUUGGGUGAGGGUACAGAAGAUGAGAAGAAAGGCAAUAAGAUGGUGAGCCGAUCUGUAUGGAAAGAUCCUUUCGUUGACGCCUUCUUGAUGAAGAAGAAGAACGCAGCUCUGAACAGGAAAAUAUGGUCAAGGAGAUCGACCAUUCUGCCAGAGUAUGUUGAUUCGUCGGUGAGAAUCUACAAUGGCAAAACUCACGUGCGUUGUAAGAUCACUGAGGGGAAAGUUGGGCAUAAGUUUGGAGAGUUUGCGUUUACAAGAAAAGUGACCAAGCACCCUAGAGCAAAGUAAGUUUAAGUUCUUGAGAAUGAAUUGGUCAGCUUGAGAGGAUUUGUUGGAGAAAAAAACACAAACGAAUCAAUAAAAAUUUCCAAGUAGGGAUAUAACUCAUUUGAGCUUAGAAGUGUUUUUUUGUAUCAGCCCGAAGUCUUGUUUUCAAUUUUUAUGAUGAUACCAAGUAUGUGACAUUAGAUCAUUUUUGGAGUUGUCUAAGACCAGUUUCACUUUGACAAUGCCAAGUAACAGGACAUGAUCCAUUAUUAAUGUAGUGGAAAAUAAUGGUUAUUUAUAAAUGGUAAAAUUCAAUGUUUGAAUCAGUAAAACUAUAACAAGUAGCGGAAUCGAGUUACAUCAUAAUUAAUCUUUUGGUGUAAUUUUGAAAUAUGUGAUUAAUAGUAAGAUCACCUCAACAUCAUGGAAGGCUGCUACAACUGAUUGAUCGUGUGUUUUUGGUCUUGAUCACUCGCUAUGUGAGCAUACACUGUUGUAUAUUAUUGUCGCCUUUUUAAAUGCAGUACAUUUCGAAAUAUAUGUUAUCUUAGUUUGAAAUUCUUAAAACAUAGACAUACAAACGUACUGCACUGAACAGCCAAUUUGACAUUUCAACAAGAAAAAAACCAAGAAUAUUAACUACAAUAAAUCUGAAUUCUGAAAUAAGUAUCUAGUUGUAGUAGAGUAUAAGAGCAACAUUAGUGGUGGUUUCUCACCCCACUUUCUCAAGAAACAAAAUAAUAAAAUAAACAAAAGUAAAAAAGAGUAUGUGAUUAAAAUUAGAAUCAAUUGUUGGAAGAGAAAUUUUAAGAGGAUGUAGAGAGAUGAUUUCUACACUUCUUCAUUUUCUAGUGGUUGAUAAUUACCUUUAACAACUAAAUUUAACCAUGCAACUAAAUAAUUUUAGUUUAUUAAUAUAAAAUAGCUGAGAGAUUCGAUUUGAAAAAUUUACCACUAUAAGGAUGCUCUAAGAGCAUCGGCAUUGGGCAAGUCGCUUCCCAUAACCUUUAUUAGAGUAUUUUUACGAACAUAUGUCUCCUUUCUUUUACCUCCUUCUUUUCUUUUCUUUCAUCCUUUUCUUAUUUUUUUCUUUAUUUAUUUGUUGAGAGGUUGUGUGAGAGAUGUCCACUGUGGAUGCUCUAAUCACGUUUAAAAGAAACUUUUGAGAACUUGUUAGCUGAAACUGAGGACUAUUCUCACCGAACCACGAAAUGCCAAAGUUAUAUGGUGGAGGCUCAUAAUGCGUGGCGGCCCUCAGAGCAUCCACAAUGGAAGCUCUUAAGGGAAUCCUUAGAGGGUGUGGAGCCUACUUUCUUAGAGUUUGUGCAAAAAAGAAUCUUUAAAAUUUUUUGAUAAGGAUUGAUCCUUACACUGUUCACGGGUCCCAUUGACUACGUGGCGGCCCGUGAAUGGUCAUCUUUUUUUUUUUUUUUUUUUUUUAAUCCAAAAUAUCCAAAAUUAAUCUGAAAUGCCCUUGUGCUAAGGACUCUAAUGAGUCUCACCAUUGCGGAUGGUCUUAUACUUCUACAAAACUAGAUUAGACAAUGUGGUUAGUAUGCGUCUAGAACGUGUCGUUCCGUAAUGUUUGGACUUUGUUUAAAAAAUUAUGAUAAUUCGAUUAAAAUAAAAACAAGUGAAUAUUUUAAAUUUUAAUUAAAAUAUAAAUUCAAAUAAGUUAACCCAUCAUAAGAAUAAUAAAUAUUAAACGUUUUUCAGUGAAAUAUUUAAACAUUUUAUAUGUUGAAGAUUCAAAUAUUUUAGAUGGAAAAAAAAAGACUUUUCUCCAACAUCGGUUAGCUUAUACAAACUCAUUAAAUAUCAAAUCUAUAGAUUGAAUAACCCCAAAUAAUUCUAACUUUUUUUUUGAUAAACAUAAUUCUAACUUUUAAAUGUUAUUUCCAUCAUAAUAAGUUACUAUAGACAUAUACACAUGUAUUUUAUCUUCUCCUCUCUCUCUGCAAAAUAUCAAAGCAACAAACCGACAUCGCUUACAUAUAACUUCAACGUAUUAUAUUGCUUUCUAAAUAUACUCCAAAAUAUUUAUAAGGACAUGCAAAAUGCAAGAAACUAUCCAAACUCUUUAAGAUUUCUAUAAGAGACAUCAAUUGAGACUAAAAUGCAUGGUAGAGUUCUACCCUUUUUUUUAAAACAUGGUAAGAGUUCUACAUAAUCCAAAAUGUGAUGGAACUGAAAGAGAUUAGAGAGGGUUAAGGACCUUAAGGUCUUAGAAGAUCUACCCAAGUCUCGUUUUCUGUUAUGUGGAUUGGCACAGUGUGAACGAGAAGGCUCAACGAAAUUAUAGAAUGGUAAGUACGUAGGUUUUGAUUUGUUCCUUUCUUCUUGUUUGAUGACCCAUUGUGUUUGUUGGUGGUGAUGUGAUAUGUGGUAUCAAAAUUACCUUUUUUUCCUUAAAGCUCUAUUUGCUUCAUAAUACAUGUCGAUUAAUAAUUUUAUACAAAAUAGAAAACAUAAACUUUUAUGGUAUUUCAAAAUACAAUUUGAAAAAAAUUCCUUAAAAUGAGAUAAAAUUAUAUAUUUAUGGUAACUUUUUUAUUAAUGAUAUAAACACACAAAAUUAUUUUAGAACCAAAAAAUCUUUUAGACAAUUAUUGCAAAAUAGAAAGAAUACAAAAUUUUAGUUUUUGAUUGAUUGAGCUUUUAGAAGAGUACUGUUUUUAUCAGCCAACAAAUUAUUAUUAAUAAAGCAUGUAAGAAUAUCAGUGUCUCCAUUCCUUUUUACUUUUGUAUGAAGAUUUUUCUAGAUCAUGAAUAUUUAAAACAUCUAAAAGUUAUAUGGUAUCAAAUUAUCAAAUACAUAUAUAAAUAUAUUAAUCAAUUUAAUAAAUACGUUAAAUGUAAUGUUUCUGCUACUUGAUAAUAUUGGUUGUGACAAAAAAAACAUAUAUGGUUGUUUUCCAAGUGACUAUGCUAAUAAUUUAUUUUCAUAAGUGAAAUCGAAAACAGAAUAGCCACCCUUUUCGGAAAAUCUAAAAAAAGAUGCAAAGUCAAAUUCUUUCACCAGAUCCACCAAACUCUCUCCACAACCAAUCUAAACCGUCCAUCUCAUCUCCCGCUUCCAUCUAUUUAACAUCACUCGCCACCUUUCGUUUCUCCUCGCACACUCUGCUCCCUUCUCACAUCUCUCACACAUCCGAGAAGAAACUUUUCAAAAAAUGGCGUUGCUUGUAGAGAAGACGUCGAGUGGCCGUGAGUACAAGGUCAAGGACAUGUCUCAGGCCGACUUCGGCCGUCUCGAGAUCGAGCUCGCCGAGGUCGAGAUGCCUGGACUCGUCUCUUGCCGCACCGAGUUCGGACCUUCUCAGCCCUUCAAAGGCGCUAGGAUCACCGGUUCUCUCCACAUGACGAUCCAAACCGCCGUCCUCAUCGAGACCCUAACCGCCCUCGGCGCGGAGGUCAGAUGGUGCUCCUGCAACAUCUUCUCCACCCAGGACCACGCCGCCGCAGCGAUCGCUCGUGACUCCGCCGCCGUGUUCUCCAGGAGUACUGGUGGUGCACGGAGAGAGCUCUUGAUUGGGGUCCGGGAGGUGGUCCUGACCUGAUUGUUGACGAUGGUGGUGACGCUACGCUUUUGAUCCACGAAGGUGUUAAGGCUGAAGAGAUCUUCGCGAAGACAGGUCAGGUCCCUGAUCCGACGUCUACUGAUAAUCCUGAGUUUCAGAUCGUGUUGUCGAUUAUCAAAGAUGGUCUUCAAGUUGAUCCCAAGAAGUACCAUAAGAUGAAGGAGAGAUUGGUUGGUGUUUCUGAGGAGACGACCACUGGUGUUAAGAGGCUUUAUCAGAUGCAGGAGACUGGAGCUCUUUUGUUCCCUGCCAUUAACGUUAAUGACUCUGUCACCAAGAGCAAGGUAUCGCUCGCUUUCUUUCUCUCCUUAUCAAAUCUCAAGUUCAAAUCUGUUACCAUUUAUAUUAGGCCAAAUAUCCAAAGAACUGAACUUAAAAAUCAGAACAUGACUAGAACUUACAAAUAACUGAAAAGUUUAUGUUUUUCUAUAUCCUAAAAGUUAAAACAGAACUAGAACUAAACCGAUAAUGCAAUAAUUAUGUACUUAAGUAUAAUUUAUAAACCAAAAAGUUAUGUUCCUAAAUAUCUAAUAUAAUAAGAAAUUCAAUUAUCUAGAAUUUGUUAUUUGAAUUAUAUGAAAUUAGUUCUCGGAUAAUUUAAUCCAAAAGCAGAAUUAUUAUGUUUUUCCGAACAACCAGAAUUGUUUGAUAUUUUUAUUUGAAUUAUCCAAUAUUAGCAGAAGAACCUGAACUGAAUCAAAACUAAACUGGAUUCAAAUUGCAUGAAACACGCUUCAAAUUGCAUCAAUAACAAGAUUUUAUAAUCUCUGUAUUUUCAUAACCCAAAAAAUGAAAAACCAAAAUAUCAUAAAAGGAUAUUAAUCAAGAAACUAAACUAAAAAACUGAAUGUUCAUGCCUAAUUUAGAGCUUAUCCACAUUCAUUCGCUUUGCUAGAUAAGUUUUCGUGUAAAUGACAUGUUUCAUUUACCAAAAAUGCGGUUGAUUUUUUCAAUGUGUUUCAUAUGUUUUGAUCCAUUUGGGUUGCAUUUACUGUAUUUCUCCAUGUGUUAUAUAUAACUGAUGAUCUACUUGCUUGCAGUUUGACAACUUGUAUGGAUGUCGCCACUCUCUCCCCGACGGUCUCAUGAGAGCCACUGAUGUCAUGAUCGCCGGAAAGGUCGCUGUUAUCUGCGGUUAUGGUGACGUCGGAAAGGGUUGUGCUGCAGCCAUGAAAACCGCUGGUGCCAGAGAACUUGAUCCAGAAGACGCAUGGCUUAAAAAUGGACUCUGUAUAUUGUUGCUUUUCGUCAAGAAAAAGCUCAUUAAUGAACCAAUUCCUUCUCUGAGCCACACAAAGCUAAAGCCAUGCCUCAGCCGAAACUCAUUGAUUUCUACGGAGAACCCAAGAGUCAGGUUCUUGAACUUACAAGAACAACAAGACCAAGCUUUCUAACUUGAGAAACAAAAAGUUAUUUUCAAGCUUAUUGCUAGUUCUCCCCCAGUCAACAGAAGUCUAAAUGCAAUCUAGAAAUCUAAAUUUUCCCAUAAAAAAACAUUUCAAUUACUCACAAAAUCUGCCAGAAACUUCUAAUUUAGUACAAAAGUACCCCCUAAACAAGCUUAAGUACUUCAACUCUUUCCUACAAAAGUCCACAAUCUUCCAUAUAUCAAUCCACUCAACACUCCCAACAAUACAGAUAUCAAUUAUAUCAAUAUUGAUUACAUAUAAACUACAUAAGCCUUAUUCUAAUGUAAACAACAACAUUACAAAAUGAAUUAAAGAUUUUACUUGCCUCAUCCUUGGAGAGAGAGCAUUUUAAUCGCAUUAUCAAGAUCCGCAUUUAAAAGAAAACCGGAUAAAAAUGUUUCAGGUCUUGAUGUCGCUAGUGUCUCGAGCACCUAUUUUAUAUCAUCUCAAGAUGAAUUAGUUUAUGUUUUUACACUCUUGUUAGGCUUUAUCUAAUUGAUGUUCUUUUUUUACUGGUUUUACUUUUCGAACAAGUGAGGAAACAACGUACGUAAAGCUAUCUUCGGCUUCAUGUUAUUAGAUAUCUUUUGUCUGCUUUGAAUUGGAUACUGAGAUGGUCAAUCCAAACAUUCAACUUUUUGAGCUUUUCCUUCUUCCACUAACUUUACA